GAGUUGUGGCUUAGUGUUAGAGCACUUGCCUGGUAUGUGUGAGGCCUUGGGUUCAAUUCUCAGCACUGCACA
rnacentral:tRNA from 1 species